rnacentral:rRNA from 1 species
GAUGAACGCUGGCGGCGUGCCUAAUACAUGCAAGUCGAGCGAACAGAUAAGGAGCUUGCUCCUUUGACGUUAGCGGCGGACGGGUGAGUAACACGUGGGUAACCUACCUAUAAGACUGGGAUAACUUCGGGAAACCGGAGCUAAUACCGGAUAACAUUUGGAACCGCAUGGUUCUAAAGUGAAAGAUGGUUUUGCUAUCACUUAUAGAUGGACCCGCGCCGUAUUAGCUAGUUGGUAAGGUAACGGCUUACCAAGGCGACGAUACGUAGCCGACCGGAGAGGGUGAUCGGCCCACCUGGACCUGAGACACGGUCCAGACUCCUACGGGAGGCAGCAGUAGGGAAUCUUCCGCAAUGGGCGAAAGCCUGACGGAGCAACGCCGCGUGAGUGAUGAAGGGUUUCGGCUCGUAAAACUCUGUUAUUAGGGAAGAACAAAUGUGUAAGUAACUGUGCACGUCUUGACGGUACCUAAUCAGAAAGCCACGGCUAACUACGUGCCAGCAGCCGCCGCGG